GCCCGGUUACAUUCCGAACCCGGAAGCUAAGGCUGACUGCGCCGAUGGUACUGCACUCGGGAGGGUGUGGGAGAGUAGGACACCGCCGGAC
rnacentral:rRNA from 1 species